UCGGGGGCUUCCCCCGGUAGAACACCAGCGACCGCUUCAUGCCAACCAGCACCGCCUGCGCCUGGCCCUGCCCGCCCUUGGACGCCGGCGCCGGCACCGCCACGGCGACGGGUUUCUCCUUGCCAGUGGCCUUCCAGUAACCGGCCCCCGUGGCGCGGUUCGCGCGCCGCCCCUUCACGUACUUGGCCUCCUUGCACGUGAAGAAGUAGCGCUCCUGCUCGCUCCAACCUGCCACCCAAUCACCGUUAUUAGCGCCAAUCCGAGAUCCGGCAGCGAGUCGAGUCAAGCCAAGCGGCAUGAGGGGACUCAGCUCUCACCUGGGGGCAGCAGGUCGGAGGGGUCGUGCGCCAGGAUGCGGACGUCGGGGAUGUCCACGGCGGCCGGGAGCGGGGAGGACAGCGCGCGCCGCCGGAGGUAGUGAACAACCAGCUCCUCGUCCGUCGGCCGGAAC
rnacentral:lncRNA from 1 species